rnacentral:rRNA from 1 species
AUUGAACGCUGGCGGCAGGCUUAACACAUACAAGUCGAGCGGGGUGAUGGUGCUUGCACUAUCACUUAGCGGCGGACGGGUGAGUAAUGCUUAGGAAUCUGCCUAUUAGUGGGGGACAACAUCUCGGAAGGGAUGCUAAUACCGCAUACGUCCUACGGGAGAAAGCAGGGGAUCACUUGUGACCUUGCGCUAAUAGAUGAGCCUAAGUCGGAUUAGCUAGUUGGUGGGGUAAAGGCCUACCAAGGCGACGAUCUGUAGCGGGUCUGAGAGGAUGAUCCGCCACACUGGGACUGAGACACGGCCCAGACUCCUACGGGAGGCAGCAGUGGGGAAUAUUGGACAAUGGGGGGAACCCUGAUCCAGCCAUGCCGCGUGUGUGAAGAAGGCCUUAUGGUUGUAAAGCACUUUAAGCGAGGAGGAGGCUCUUUUGGUUAAUACCCAAGAUGAGUGGACGUUACUCGCAGAAUAAGCACCGGCUAACUCUGUGCCAGCAGCCGCCGUAA